CUUUUGGGCUAGGGAUAAACCCAAGGCCCUCAACAUGCUCGGAAAGUGCUCUACCAGUGAAUUAUACCCCUGGCUUCUCAACUACUUCCUUUCACAGCAGUAAUUCUUAUGAUGAGAAUUUAUCACUCCACAAAGAAAAUGCUAUUUAAGAAGCCAGUCACAAAAGACUGGUAAUGUCUGAAUUUAUUAUAUUAAAGGCCUGAAAAUAGAUGGAUGAUUGCCUAGGGCUGGGAGUGGGCGGGCAUCAAGAAGAAAUAAGA